rnacentral:lncRNA from 1 species
CUUUUCUUCCUUUCUUUUUCUCUUUCUUUCUUUCUUUCUUUUUUUCUCUGUUUCUUCUUUUCGUUCUUUUUUCUUUUUUAUCUGAAAAACUGAGUUUUUAUUAAAGGGAUAAUUUUUAAAAUCUCACUAAAGAUUUUUGUAGUAAGAAUGGGGUACAUCUCAGUUGCUACACAUACUAGCAAGAAGUGAGUGUGAAAAGAUCUGCCUUUGAUUAUCUCGUCAGAUUAAUAUACUUUAAAACAGCUCUUAGGUUUGUUUUUCUUCCUCUGAGUAAUUAUAGGUUGAAACUUUAAUUUCAACCUGAUAUAGUGUGGCUGUAUAGAAUGAAAUGGCAUUUUGA